AACAGUAAAUGUAGCAGYUACUUUGCUGCAGCUGAAAAUUUGUGGUCCCCGUGUGCUACCAAAACAUCAACUUUUAUUAAAAGGAAGUUUUAUUUUUAUUCAUUUUUUUAACCAAUAUUGUUUAGUGUUUUGAUGUUUUUCUACUAUUUUUUUUCCRUACUUGAUGCAAACCUAGUUUUUUCUUCACAGAGCUCGUGGAGGAGGCUGGCAUGGAGAGGAAGGUAAAGAAUCCGAGGAAGGCGUGGAGCAGAUGGCGAGYAGAUGAACUGGAGGGAGAGUGGCAGGUGCUUAAAUACAAGAGCCUCAUCUUCAGACAAGAUCAGCUACAGGCGGUGCAGCCAUUUAACCACCAUAGAGAUGCCAUUCAUCAGGUCUGUGAGUGCUCUCAUGUCCGAUCAUCUGUCAGAGGUGUCUUCACGUCAUCGACAUCCCUCCUGCCUGCUGCUUCUCAGAGUGGAGCCAGAAUCAAGGUGAGGGGAGCAUUUUGUUCUGCUCUCAGGAGGUCAGUCAUUCCCUUUCUUUCCCUUCAUCCAUUCUUCCUCCUCCUCCUCCUCAUCUCCCGUAGCUUCCUCACCUAAUGGAGCCAUCAAGGGGAAUCAUUGUCCAGGAAAUGUGUUGUGCUUCAACCGGACAGCAUCGGUCAGAGACAGGGGCUUUACCACAGGAACAAAAAUGGACUCACCUGCUGCAGAGACAUUACACACUGCCAAUCAUGUUUCCCAACUACCUGUUCAGAAACUUUGUAAGAAGAAUUAGAGAAUAUACAAGGAGAUGAUUCUCUCUUUUAUGCUGAAACACGACCAGUUCUUUCUAUUAAUAUGAACACUGCUGCUUCAUUUCAUCUGUUGUAACAAGGAUUGUAACAUGAUCAGCAGAUGAGAUCUCACCUUUAGCAUCACUAACAAUAUAUACUGUAAAUGUGACCAGAAUAUGUAUUUUAAUGUAAUAACGUAUUUCUUGGGAA